AUGAAAUCAAGCGUGGGUGAGACCUGGUGCAGAACGGGAAGGCGACCCAUACUUGGUUUCAG
ncrna:Equus caballus (horse) microRNA eca-mir-551b precursor